GGCCUUGGCUCUGCCCUCCAUCCUGGGCCCUGGCGGUGGCACCCACCAGCAGUUUAGCCUCCAGGGAGAGCCCUGUGGGUGCCAGCUCCCCUCCCUCACACCUCUGGCCGUGGGGAGUCAGAACAGUGCCCUCAGCUCGAGCGAGAGGACCUGUGUCUCCCGCUCCUCUCACCUUGGCCUCGGUUUGCAGCUUGUCUGGCCCUUGGGUUCCAAACUUGCUGUUUCUCAUGUGUUUGUGAUUUGUGAAUCCCCCUCAGGCUGUGCUCUUCAUGAGGUUAUAACAAGUCUCAUAAGUGGUGACAUAAAACAUUAAAACAUCUUUUAACAACUGCCUCCCAUUGCUCCAAAGUCCUCAACCCUAGAUGGGGCUGGGCUUGGGGUUUGGUUCCCUUGAUUCUGUGUAACGGUCUCUGGACACACUGCCCUGAUGGGUCCAGGCUCCCGGGCAGGUUGGCCAGAACCUCAAAAGAUAAAACUGACCGAUGUGGAGUGGGGAACUCAGAAUCUCUCUGUGCCUCAGUUUACUCAUCUGUAAAGUGAUAACUGCACCCACUGCACUGGGGUGUCAUGAGGACUCAGUGAGGUAAUAACCGUAAAGUGCCGAGAACAGUGUCUAGCAUAUAGUGAGUGUGGUAUCAAGUACUUGUUCAGUAAAGUGCUCUCAAAGCAGAGGGUGAAAACUGCCUUCGGGGAAAACGAGAAAAGGAAUCAAGCUUGUGUUACCUGUCGGAGCCGCCCGGCUAAGCAGGGGCGCUGCCCAGCUCCCCCUGCCCCCCAGAGCCGGUGAAGGCGGUGCCAGGAGGUCCCUUACCUGCCGAGAGGAGGUGCUGUUAACGGGAUCGGGCACCGGUGCGAGAAGGCUGGGCGGGUUCUUUUUGUGAACGCUAUUCAUACCAGGCAUUUUAGUGAUUUUACAGGCUUUGCUACUAGAACUUGAGUUCUUACGCUUU
rnacentral:lncRNA from 1 species